UUUAUUUUUUUUGCAGUGCCCUCGUCAAAUUAAUGUUAUUGACUGUGGAUAUUUUGUAAUGCGAUAUAUGAAAGAGGUCAUCAUGAAAAAUGAAAAUAUGAUCCUCAUAAAUUACUUUCCUGACCACAAAUGCCGCACCUACUCUAAAGAUAAAUUAACUAAUGUCAAGGAGGAUUGGGCUACCUAUGUGGUGGAUGAUGUUUUUGGAAACCAAGAAGCUGUUAUUCUUCCUAACUAGGUCAUUGUAUAUAUGAUUCAUAUUGAAUUAGAAAGUUGAAAGUGUUGGGGUUAAUUUGCGGCUUUGAAAGAUGGACAAUUUGGAUUUUUUUGGUUCAGCUGUUGUUGCGUGCAGGUUGGAAAGUGCAAUUGGUUGAAUGAAGCUGUUAUUAGUUGUUGUUGUUGUUUUGUCCUUGUUUUUUA